GCAGGAUGUAAGAGGGCGUGCGCAGGCUAUAUUCAGCCAGGAGCGUGGGAAGGCAAGCGUGAGCGAGUUCUCCCUCCUCUCGCUCCCUCGCCGCGUAAGGUAAACCGCAAUGAAAGCCCUCCCCAUUUCCAAGACACGUGCCGCCAUCAAGCCCUAGCCUCACGUCACAGCGGUUCCAGCAAGGGAAAUGCGCAAGUUAACCCUCUCCCUCGAUGACGCACUCGGCCACGCGCUCCUCUGCAGGAUAUACGCCACGGCGCCUGCGAGAUGCGCGCGCCUGUCUACCCAAUACAUGUACAGCGACGACUUCCGAAGAGAGACCCAACGGUAGGAGAAAUCGCGAUUCGUAAAAGGAGCAAAAUCGAACGUCUCCUUCAAGCAGCUGCUCGCCGUUAGCUCGCAGGACACUCGGGACAAGGGCGGCGGCGUCAGAGUGCCCGAUGAUUUCGAAUCUCCGAAGCAACGACAGAGACUCAUGAAGCGGCCCAGCGAAUCAGCCGUUCCUCGCGACAUUGGCAACCAAAGCGUUUGAGGUUGAAGUUGAAAUAAAGAAAACAUUGAGCUUA